rnacentral:siRNA from 1 species
GUUAGUCUGUGACGGUUUGUUGUC